rnacentral:rRNA from 1 species
GACGAACGCUGGCGGCGUGCUUAACACAUGCAAGUCGAACGAAGCACCCUGAUUUGAUUCUUCGGAUGAAGAUCUUGGUGACUGAGUGGCGGACGGGUGAGUAACGCGUGGGUAACCUGCCUCAUACAGGGGGAUAACAGUUAGAAAUGACUGCUAAUACCGCAUAAGACCACAGCACCGUAUGGUGCAGGGGUAAAAACUCCGGUGGUAUGAGAUGGACCCGCGUCUGAUUAGGUAGUUGGUGGGGUAACGGCCUACCAAGCCGACGAUCAGUAGCCGACCUGUGAGGGUGACCGGCGGCAUUGGGACUGAGGCACGGCCCCAACUCGUACGGGAGGCAGCAGUGGGGAAUAUUGCGGAAUGGGCGCAACGCUGAUGAAGCGAGGCCGCGUGAGCGAUGAAGUGUUUGGGUAUGUAAAGCUCUAUCGGCAGGGAAGGAAGUGACGGUACCUGAAGAAGAAGCACCGGCUAACUACGUG